GCCCCGGUAGUUCAACGGAUAGAACGGUCGUUUCCUAAACAACAAAUAGCAGUUCGAUUCUGCUCUGGGGCA
rnacentral:tRNA from 1 species